rnacentral:lncRNA from 1 species
GCAGAACAAUCAUAAUUCAAAUUCAAACUUAGCAUUACAUCUAUCACUUAUUUCUUUUGUAGAAACAAGUGCUUGCUUUUAAUUUAAAAGACAGAACAAUGGCCUGGACAGCCACUUUCAGGGAUUACUUUAUGCAUUUCUGGGUAAUUCUAUUAAACUAGCUAUUUCAUGUUAAUGUGACAACAAUGCAACUAUCCAUACUCAUGGGAAAUAACUCAAUACCAACUAAAGUAAAUAAGAGUCCUAAAUACAGAUCUUAAAGUGAAUUUCAAAUGUUCAUGGCAUAUCAUUAUUUAACGUACCAAAGCAGACAUCAUAAAUGGACAAAUCAAGUAAAAAACAGAGGGAAAACAUCUAUCAAGCAUGGAACUCUUCAUUUUUUCAAAACACAUGAACCCUUCUUACAUGUCUAGAAUCAUGAAUGUGUACCUGAAAAUCAAAAAGGAAACAAGGGGAAUAAGGAGUCAAUAACAGCAGCAGUAGGUCAGCCCAGAAUCAGCAAGGAAGAGAUAUCAAACAGUAAUCAAACCCAACCUCAUGCGAAUCAAAAAUGACUUCAGAAAAAUGAACCUCGAGCAUCAGAACAGAACAGAAAUCAAUGGAACAGUCAAUUUCUAUGACAUUUCAGCUGCUUUUUAUUUUCUGUAUUCUCUAUCUCUUCUAAUCCCCUAUGAAAUAGUAGAUUUUUUUUUUUGCAGUUUUUCUAUAUUUUCUGGAUUUCAGCUCUCAGAAAUCUCUGCCUUCAAAGGCAAGAUAAGCUACCUUUAUAGGCAAGGCACUAGGGCAACUAAAGGAGGAUCAGAUUUGCACCUAGACCCUUUUCAUAUUUUCGUUUUUGCUCAAAAGCCCUUAGCUUAAAAUAUCAGAUUUCAUCUAAGCCCCCACCCCACUUUCCUAGAAGUUUCUGAAUUCUGUUACUCAAGAUUCCCUAUGUCUUUUACCCAAACUAACCCUUAAUUGCCCUGUUUUUACCCUGAACCCAAAGCAGAUAUGGGUCAAUCUUGACCCAAAACUUAAAAGGCUUUUGCAGUGGGGUCGAGAAUAGCCUCAAGGCCCAAACAAAAUCAGAAGCUCAUUUUAAUGAAUCAAUAAUCACUUGGGAGAUUUUAAAACUAAAAUUCUAGCUAAAUGACCGAUUUCUCUUUUUAGCCUAACUAAUGAACUAUAAUUAAACUAUAUUACCUAAUCAACCAUAGCUAAUUAUACAAUUAGAAGAAUCAGAAAUUGUGACCUAAAUAAAGCUAAACAAGCAACAUACACAAAUCAAACAAAACUGACGACAAAUUUGAAAAGAAAAUUAGAGAACACACAGAAUAAAUACGAACACCAAAAUGAAAACCUAGGUUUAAAACUUUUAUCAACUUUUAGUCAGAAUAAAAAUUAAUUAAAGAAAAAGGAGAAGAAAAGAAGAGGAAGACGGUGAAGUGAUAGAAAUGGACAGAAAAAUAAAGAAGCUUACCGACAAAACUUGACACCAACACUGGAUUUUCAAUUUAUCCCAAAAUAAUGUUAAUAGCUUGUUCUUUGUCAAGAACCAGUGACCAUCAUUGUUUCGUGAUAGACCUUGAACACUCAGGAAAAUCGGGGAAAUAGCCCUUGCAUGCACAGAAUCUGAUUUUGGGUUUUUAGGGUUUCACCCUUAAAAUCAAGAUUCGACGGGUUCUGGAAAGAUUCGAGGGAAACAAGUACCGGAUUUGGUAUGAAGGAGCCAUGGGGGUGUUUUGGUGUUGAUUUUGAUGGGGAUUUGAGUGGUCUAUGGCGUCGCCACCGGGCUCGAAGCAGUGGGGAAAGGGGGCGGCAGGUUAGGGUUCUUGCUGAGAGUCUCAGAAGGGGGGGGGGGUGGGGGGGUUGAACGAGAUGAAAUGAGGGGGGUAGGGUAAUGUUUGGACAUAUAAAUAUCCUUACCUCCCCAGUUCUAAUUCGUCCGAUCAGACUCGUUCAAUGGUCAAGAUGAAGGAAACUGGAACGACGUCGUUUGGUUGAGUGAGGGGAACCAGACCGGGUCAGGGCGUGGAUUUGGGCCGGGUUUCGGGUAGUUUGGAUGGGUUUCACAUUGGAAGAUUUGGGCCUGGGAGUUUAGUUUGAAAACUGGCCCAACCCAUUUCAUUUUUUAUUCAAAACAAAUUUAAUUCAAAACUCUUUUUCCUUUUUCCUUUUUCCUUUUUCCUUUUUCCUUUUUUCCCUUUUUUCGAAAUUUAAUUAAAAUCAAAAUUUAUUCCUAGAGCUAAAAAAAUAAUUAAACCUAAAAUGAUAAUUAACAUAAUUAAUUAAAAAUAAAUUAACAAAAGAAAGCUACUCAAAAUCAAACCUAAAAUUAAAAGUGCAAAUUAAACUAAUUUUGUGACUUUUCCGUUUUAUGCAACUAAAUGCAAAUGCAACGUAUUUUUGUAUUUUCACUAGUUAAAACGCAAAAACAAAAUGCGAANNNNNNNNNNNNNNNNNNNNNNNNNNNNNNNNNNNNNNNNNNNNNNNNNNNNNNNNNNNNNNNNNNNNNNNNNNNNNNNNNNNNNNNNNNNNNNNNNNNNNNNNNNNNNNNNNNNNNNNNNNNNNNNNNNNNNNNNNNNNNNNNNNNNNNNNNNNNNNNNNNNNNNNNNNNNNNNNNNNNNNNNNNNNNNNNNNNNNNNNNNNNNNNNNNNNNNNNNNNNNNNNNNNNNNNCUCACAAGAGGCUCUUUAAUCCAACAUGAAAAUGAAAAAAAUAAAUAAAUAUGCGAACAGACAAGCCCUUACAGAUCCUGAUCAUUGUAUUUACAUUAGCACCAUGUUGGGUAUGUUCAACCUCUUAAUCUGCUGUGGAAGGGAAGAUCUCUUAAUAAUAGAGAAAUACAGUCUGAACUCAUGGCUCUAUUGGAUGGUCAAUAAACUUAAAUGAGCCUUUACACAACCAAAAAUGUUUAUGAAUACUAUUCAAGGUAUAAAGUUCUCGAUUGACAAAAAUAACAUGUAAGAUGGCUAUUUCGAAUAGAUUGUACACACAAUUUUACUUUCAUAUAUAAAGAAGACAGUUAAACAGGAUAUGGUUUGUGCUUGGAUUGGCAAAAUAUAAAAAUUAAUUCUUUAACUUAAACAGCAAAUUGAUAAACUCUAAAAUGCAUGGUAUUCCAAUGAUCCUUUACAGAAGCACUUGAUGCCUCACUGGACCAGACUCAAGACUCAAUAUUCUUACAGGAAAGAAAUAUCCUUAUUAAAUGUGAAGCUGGCAACUUAUUAUGUAUGCAUUACGGCAUAGUCCAUCAAACAUAGUCAAGAAAAUUAGCAAAAAAUAGUUUUUCUUCUAGCCUCUAAGUUAAAACAAUUGCGAAAACAAUUAACUAUGUUAUUUGGAGGACCCUUUCAAUAAAAUCCAUGGUACAAAACAUUCCUAUAUUUACAGUUAUUAGAAUAACGAAACUAAAAGAAUGCUUUCCAAUCCACCUCCACUCUAAAACACACAUCAAGUACCUCCAACCAUAAAGAUCAAAGUAAUUCUUUUUCUUUUGGGAUGUAUGUAAUAUCUGCUAGUUAGGGACUAAGAACUAUCAAAGUAAAAGUCACAGGCAACAACUAUAUGCAAACUAAAAGAUGUUCAACUGAGAAAGAACAAAAGAUGAUCAUCUGAGCAAGGACUUGUGGCUUCAAUACUCAUCAAUACAUACAAUCAGCAAAAUGAAAUCCAAAAUAUUGAUUCAACAUGUUGAUUUCUUAAUGACUAAAGUCAAUUUUAAUGAUUUUCUAAUCCGUCGUAUAUUCUCUUAUUACUCUUAGCAAGUAAAAAUAUUCACUUUAUUAAGGCCAAGCUUGUUUGCUUCAUAAUAGUCCAACAUGCUGCUUAUAGGGACCAUAAUGGUUAGAUUCACUAUUUAAAAUUUGACAUGUAUCCAGUCUAUUAUCAUUACUCUAAACGUCAUUGUACGUAGGUAUACAAUUAGUCAUUCUCAUUAUAUAGAUAAUCUCUUGUAACACAUGAAAGAAAAUUAGACAAAGGUGAACAGUAAUCCUUUUCAAAUAAAGUGCAUUGUUCAUCAACACACCCAUAGUGCCCUAUGCAUCAACCAUUUCAAGAAAUUAAGAAAACUAAUUACCACAUACUUUUUUAUAAUAAGUAACAUCUAACGAAUAUACUCACAGUAAUCAUUGAUACAAAGAUAGAUCAUCAAAGUCAUUUAACGGGAAGAAAACACACCAGCAAAACAUAUAUGAAACUUGGGAGUAGACUACUAUUUAAUAAUUAAAAACUUCCACAUCAAAAAUCAAGAUUUUCAGCCACAUUAGUGUGUGAAAAUACCUAGGACACCAGAAAUUUACCAAUGAAAGUACACUGUUUUUUUAAUCAAAAUCAAGUUGGUCCUUGGGCUCAUUAUUUUUGACUCUCAAUUGCCAUUUAAUACUAAAAGGUUGUUAAAAAAAAUUAUUAAGACAGUACAAGUUUUAAGACAAUUCUUUGAUAAGAGCUUUAGAAACACAUUCACCAAAUUGAUGCUUUAGUCUGUUAAAAUAUUAUGAUUAACCAUAUUUUUCUCUCAUUAUAACAGCCCUCAAAUUGCAAAAUUAACAAGUACGUGAAGCACCCAGGAAAGCACGAAACUUCAAAACUCAGCAACGUUAGAGUUUAAAAAUGCAGUUUUACCACCCGAUUCUAUUACAAAAUCAAAAAUAUGAAAAGAACCAAACUAAAAAAAGAGAAGGGAAAGGGAUUUUGGAAAGAUCAGAGAAGAAACAGAUGAAGAGAACCUGCAAUAGCCACUAAACUUCAGAACUAGCCAAAAGAAUACAAAGGGGAAAAAGGAGAAAAAAUGAGAGAAAAAGAUAUCAGGAACCAUUAAAUUUCAAAGCUAACAUUAAUGACCCAAAGAAAAGGAAGAACCAAAAAAAAAAAGUACCUGCAGCUACACUUUAGAGCGAGAAGACAAGCAUUUGCAAUACAAGUUUUGAAAGAAAUUGAAUACUCAAAGCUGAACUCUGGAUUUCAAUUCAUCUCCACAAAAAAAAAAUAAAGAACGUUCCCCCAAUUUCAUUUAUCAAAACUCUAACACGAAAAAUUUCGGAUCUUCUUGAAUAUAUAUAAAAUCUGUCUUUAAUUCAGUUUAUUUUCAUGAAUUUGCGGUAAACCUCCAUUGCCAUUGAUAUAAAAAGAAUUGUAUGUGGGCUGAAACAAAUUGGAACAAAAAAAGGAGAAAAACACAUAGAUAGCAACAAAAUUAAUUUUAAAGAGUAAAAUAUUUACCUGCAAAUUGAAGAGAUUUGAGAAGACCGUAGAAAAUCUGAGUAAGCUCUGUAACUCCAUUGUAUACGAUAUAUUAGAAGAGAAGAAAAGUGAAGCGUAUAUGUGAGAGUAGUUUAAAACCUACACGUAGUAUCUGGGGAGU